rnacentral:rRNA from 1 species
UACAGCGGUGGCAAGCGUUGUUCGGCAUUACUGGGCGUAAAGGGCGCGUAGGCGGCCUUCUAAGUCAGACGUGAAAUCCCCCGGCUUAACCUGGGAACUGCGUCUGAUACUGGGAGGCUUGAGUAUGGGAGAGGGAUGUAGAAUUCCAGGUGUAGCGGUGAAAUGCGUAGAUAUCUGGAGGAACACCGGUGGCGAAGGCGGCAUCCUGGACCGGUAUUGACGCUGAGGCGCGAAAGCCAGGGGAGCAAACGGG